rnacentral:rRNA from 1 species
GACGAACGCUGGCGGCGUGCUUAACACAUGCAAGUCGAACGAUGAAGCCUAGCUUGCUAGGUGGAUUAGUGGCGAACGGGUGAGUAAUACGUGAGUAACCUACCUUUAACUCUGGGAUAAGCCUGGGAAACUGGGUCUAAUACCGGAUACGACCAAUCUCCGCAUGGGGUGUUGGUGGAAAGCGUUAUGUAGUGGUUAUAGAUGGGCUCACGGCCUAUCAGCUUGUUGGUGAGGUAGCGGCUCACCAAGGCGACGACGGGUAGCCGGCCUGAGAGGGUGACCGGCCACACUGGGACUGAGACACGGCCCAGACUCCUACGGGAGGCAGCAGUGGGGAAUAUUGCACAAUGGGCGCAAGCCUGAUGCAGCGACGCCGCGUGAGGGAUGACGGCCUUCGGGUUGUAAACCUCUGUUAGCAGGGAAGAAGAGAGAUUGACGGUACCUGCAGAGAAAGCGCCGGCUAACUACGUGCCAGCAGCCGCGGUAAUACGUAGGGCGCGAGCGUUGUCCGGAAUUAUUGGGCGUAAAGAGCUUGUAGGCGGUUUGUCGCGUCUGCUGUGAAGGCCGGGGCUUAACCCCGUGUAUUGCAGUGGGUACGGGCAGACUAGAGUGCAGUAGGGGAGACUGGAAUUCCUGGUGUAGCGGUGGAAUGCGCAGAUAUCAGGAGGAACACCGAUGGCGAAGGCAGGUCUCUGGGCUGUAACUGACGCUGAGAAGCGAAAGCAUGGGGAGCGAACAGGAUUAGAUACCCUGGUAGUCCAUGCCGUAAACGUUGGGCACUAGGUGUGGGGGACAUUCCACGUUUUCCGCGCCGUAGCUAACGCAUUAAGUGCCCCGCCUGGGGAGUACGGCCGCAAGGCUAAAACUCAAAGAAAUUGACGGGGGCCCGCACAAGCGGCGGAGCAUGCGGAUUAAUUCGAUGCAACGCGAAGAACCUUACCAAGGCUUGACAUAUACUGGACCGCAUCAGAGAUGGUGUUUCCCUUCGGGGCUGGUAUACAGGUGGUGCAUGGUUGUCGUCAGCUCGUGUCGUGAGAUGUUGGGUUAAGUCCCGCAACGAGCGCAACCCUCGUUCUAUGUUGCCAGCACGUUAUGGUGGGGACUCAUAGGAGACUGCCGGGGUCAACUCGGAGGAAGGUGGGGAUGACGUCAAAUCAUCAUGCCCCUUAUGUCUUGGGCUUCACGCAUGCUACAAUGGCCGGUACAGAGGGUUGCGAUACUGUGAGGUGGAGCUAAUCCCUAAAAGCCGGUCUCAGUUCGGAUUGGGGUCUGCAACUCGACCCCAUGAAGUCGGAGUCGCUAGUAAUCGCAGAUCAGCAACGCUGCGGUGAAUACGUUCCCGGGCCU